ACUUGAAAGUGACACAAGCGUCGGAACAGUAAGCGAAUCUGGAUCAUUACUGUUCCCUUGUCUUAACUAUUCACAAGGCUUUCACACGUUUUUAAGUGCUCCUCAUACAGCACUAACAACAGACGUAACGGAAGUCACGAAUGCUAAGCUCACACGUUCCACUGGAUCACGUACACACGUGUUCAUUUCAAUAUUUCUUCUGAUAAUUUGAACAAAGGUGUGGCUGACCACGGCUCUUUAAUUCCAUCGCGUGUACUUACCCGCCAAAGUCGACGUUGAAAAGCCUCUGCAAGAGUUCAUACGUGAGAAGAGUAACUCCAAACUGAGGGGAUGACCUCAAGACGCGAGCUAGAGAGAAGGGAGAAGAAACCAUCAGCGAACAACAGCCAAGAACACCAUCAGCGAACAGUCAUAAUUAGACAAUUAACAAAGAAAACCAUCAGCGAACAGCCAUAGUCAAACAAACAACCAAGAAAACAAUCAGCGAACAGCCAUAAUCAGACAAACAACCAAGACAACAAUCAGCGAACAGUUAUAAUCAGACAAACAACCAAUAUAACCAUCAGCAAACAGCCACAAUCAGACAAACAACCAAUAUAACCCUCAGCGAACAGCCAUAAUCAGACAAACAACCAAUAUAACCAUCAGCGAACAACCAUAAUCAGACAAACAACCAGAAAACUGCCAGCUAACAGUCACAAUCAGACAAACAACUAAGAAAACCAUCAGCGAACAGCCAUAAUCAGACAAACAACUAAAAAAACCAUCAGCGAACAGCCAUAAUCAGACAAACAACCAAGAACAAGAAAAUUACCAGCGAACAGCCAUAAUCAGACAAACAACCAAGAAAACCAUCAGCGAACAGCCAUAAUCAGACAAACAACCAAGACAACCAUCAGCGAACAGCCAUAAUCAGACAAACAAUCAAGAAAAACAUCAGAGAACAGCCAUAAUCAGACAAACAACCAAGACAACCAUCAGCGAACAGCCAUAAUCAGACAAACAACCAAGAAAAUUACCAGCGAACGCCAUAAUCAGACAAACAACCAAGAAAACCAUCAGCGAACAGCCAUAAUCAGACAAACAACCAAGACAACCAUCAGCGAACAGCCAUAAUCAGACAAACAACCAAGAAAACCAUCAGAGAACAGCCAUAAUCAGACAAACAACCAAGACAACCAUCAGCGAACAGCCAUAAUCAGACAAACAACCAAGAAAACCAUCAGCGAACAGCCAUAAUCAGACAAACAACCAAGACAACCAUCAGAGAACAGCCAUAAUCAGACAAACAACCAAGAAAACCAUCAGAGAACAACCAUAAUCAGACAAACAACCAAGACAACCAUCAGCGAACAGCCAUAAUCAGACAAACAACCAAGACAACCAUCAGCGAACAGCCAUAAUCAGACAAACAACCAAGACAACCAUCAGCGAACAGCCAUAAUCAGACAAACAACCAAGACAACCAUCAGCGAACAGCCAUAAUCAGACAAACAACCAAGAAAACAAUCAGCGAACAGCCAUAAUCAGACAAACAACCAAGACAACCAUCAGCGAACAGCCAUAAUCAGACAAACAACCAAGACAACCAUCAGCGAACAGCCAUAAUCAGACAAACAACCAAGACAACCAUCAGCGAACAGCCAUAAUCAGACAAACAACCAAGACAACCAUCAGAGAACAGCCAUAAUCAGACAAACAACCAAGACAACCAUCAGCGAACAGCCAUAAUCAGACAAACCACCAAGAAAACCAUCAGAGAACAGCCAUAAUCAGACAAACAACCAAGACAACCAUCAGCGAACAGCCAUAAUCAGACAAACAACCAAGAAAACCAUCAGCGAACAGCCAUAAUCAGACAAACAACAAAGACAACCAUCAGAGAACAGCCAUAAUCAGACAAACAACCAAGAAAACCAUCAGAGAACAACCAUAAUCAGACAAACAACCAAGACAACCAUCAGCGAACAGCCAUAAUCAGACAAACAACCAAGACAACCAUCAGCGAACAGCCAUAAUCAGACAAACAACCAAGACAACCAUCAGCGAACAGCCAUAAUCAGACAAACAACCAAGACAACCAUCAGCGAACAGCCAUAAUCAGACAAACAACCAAGACAACCAUCAGCGAACAGCCAUAAUCAGACAAACAACCAAGAAAACAAUCAGCGAACAGCCAUAAUCAGACAAACAACCAAGACAACCAUCAGCGAACAGCCAUAAUCAGACAAACAACCAAGACAACCAUCAGCGAACAGCCAUAAUCAGACAAACAACCAAGAAAACCAUCAGCGAACAGCCAUAAUCAGACAAACAACCAAGACAACCAUCAGCGAACAGCCACAAUCAGACAAACAACCAAGAAAACCAUCAGCGAACAGCCAUAAUCAGACAAACAACAAAGACAACCAUCAGAGAACAGCCAUAAUCAGACAAACAACCAAGAAAACCAUCAGAGAACAACCAUAAUCAGACAAACAACCAAGACAACCAUCAGCGAACAGCCAUAAUCAGACAAACAACCAAGACAACCAUCAGCGAACAGCCAUAAUCAGACAAACAACCAAGACAACCAUCAGCGAACAGCCAUAAUCAGACAAACAACCAAGACAACCAUCAGCGAACAGCCAUAAUCAGACAAACAACCAAGACAACCAUCAGCGAACAGCCAUAAUCAGACAAACAACCAAGAAAACAAUCAGCGAACAGCCAUAAUCAGACAAACAACCAAGACAACCAUCAGCGAACAGCCAUAAUCAGACAAACAACCAAGACAACCAUCAGCGAACAGCCAUAAUCAGACAAACAACCAAGACAACCAUCAGCGAACAGCCAUAAUCAGACAAACAACCAAGACAACCAUCAGAGAACAGCCAUAAUCAGACAAACAACCAAGACAACCAUCAGAGAACAGCCAUAAUCAGACAAACAACCAAGACAACCAUCAGCGAACAGCCAUAAUCAGACAAACAACCAAGAAAACCAUCAGCGAACAGCCAUAAUCAGACAAACAACCAAGAAAACCAUCAGCGAACAGCCACAAUCAGACAAACAACCAAGAUAACCAUCAGCGGACAGCCAUAAUCAGACAAACAACCAAGAAAACCAUCAGCGAACAGCCAUAAUCAGACAAAAAACAACCCCCCCAA